rnacentral:rRNA from 1 species
AUGAAUGUGUUAAGUUGGAACUGCCGGGGAGGGGGGAAUCCUCGGACAGUUCGUGAGUUGGCGGCAAUCACACAGUCGCAUUCCCCCAAGUUGGUGUUUUUGUGUGAGACAAGGCAGAAGGCUGAUAAGAUGAGGAGGAUCCGUGGGCGGUUAGGGUUGAAAGGUUUUGCCGGAGUGGACAGCGCCGGGAUGAGUGGAGGAUUGGCUUUGUUUUGGCAUGGAGAAACCCAAUGGAGGAUUACGUGCGUUUAUGGAGAGCCCAGAGUGGAGAACCGUCAUCUUAUGUGGGAGAAGCUACAAGGAUUGAAGAAUACUAGUGAUGUUCCU